GGUCAGGUGGCGCCACAGGCUGCGAGCCCGCUCACGUGCGAGCCCGCUCACGUGCGAACUGUUUUCCCAACGGAUGCUACAUCGCAGCUCCCUUCUCUACCAGCUUUUCUCUACUUCCGCGAAAACGAUUGCAGACUGCCUUGGAAAGGGCGGUCGUGCCCAAUACCACUUUCCCGGAGACGCAGCAGAGGAAUAAAAUAGCGGGCAGUGAUGAAGGUGAUGUGAAAAAGACUGGACCAGAGGAAGGAGUGAUUACUGGAUGCCAUUUCCUGUCACCCCAUGCUUCAUGGCUAACCCCAGUCUGAACUCAGAGGGUUGCCAACUUUCCACAGACAGUCUCAAAGGACCUCAUGAAAAUCCUACGGGACAAUUGAACGACAGCUACAAGAUACUGGCCUAAAGGUAUUUCCAUUAAAGGUUUUGUGCAGUUAUGAUAGUUCUAUAAAAAUGUCUGUGUGGUUCAAUUAUAGAGUCUGGUGAUUAGUUUUAUAUAAUACUUGGCACUAAAAUAGCAACUUUCAAUACAAAAUAUUUUGUGUAAGUGGUGAACACAAAUGUUUGGAUAAAUAAAGAUCUAUAUAAAAUGUUAGGAUUUUGUAGAAAGCAUUUUAUUACAAGCAUUUGCUGUUUCUCCACCUAGCACAAUAUAUAUCAUUAUUAAUUAGUCAGUAUCUCUAAUCAGAUUUUUAUUGAAGCUGAUAUGUAAAAG
rnacentral:lncRNA from 1 species